UGCGCAUCGGAUUCGUCGACGUUUCGUUUCCGUGAAGAUUCUGCGUGUGUAUGUGUGUGUUUGUGUGCACCCGAGCUGAAGUGGUGUGUGAUUAUCGCAAGGAUUUUUUGCGAGUAUUUUUUGGCUCAUUUGAUUACCUUAUCGGACGGAGCUUGUAAACCUGAGAACCUGAGUGGAAACAGAGUCGUGUGAACAUUUUCCACGGUAGAGGACGUUUUUCAUCUCAAACACGACCCCCUAGAGGAGGGUAGUGAGGAUAAGCAAAAGGAUAGCACACGCAUACUACGCCUGAAGGAUGUGGCUGCGGUUGAGUUUCCCUUUAAUUACGCUACUUAGCGUGGUGACGCUGUCAUCAGCGCAGCAGGCGUCCGGUCCGAACAUCGUGUUUAUCAGCCCGGAGCAGAUCAAAGACAUCGGCGAGCAGGUGACGCUCAACUGUUCGAUCGCGAACGUGAAGAACUACAUCGUCGGCUGGCAGAAGAGCAACCGGGAUCGGACGAAGGAGAGCAACAUCAUCUCGCUCGGUACGCAGCUCGCCGUCACCGAGGAUCGGUUCCAGCUGAACUUCACCAAGGAGAACAACUCCGCCAACUACGUGCUGGAGAUCAAAGACAUCGUCAACACGGACGCCGGACUGUACGAGUGUCAGAUUCUGGUGAACAGCACGAGCAAGAUCACCAAGACGGUCGAGCUGCAGGUGCGCCAUCCACCGAUGCUGCUCGAGAACCAGCACACCAACACGCUCACCAAGGCGGAGGGCGAAGACGCGCAGCUGGUGUGCCGGGCCGAAGGCUACCCGCGACCCUCGAUCUCCUGGAAGCGCGAGUACAACGCCAUCCUGCCCAUCGGAGGCCAGACAUUCGUCGGCAACGAGCUGCGCCUAAAUGCCCUCCGUCGGGAGGAUCGCGGCACGUACUACUGCACGGCGGACAACGGUGUCGGCAGGCCGGAUACGAAAACGAUCACGCUGGAGGUGGAGUUCGCCCCGGUCAUCUCCGUACCGCGGCCGAAGGUGGCCCAGGCGCUGGACUACGACAUCGAUGUGGAGUGCGUGGUGCAGGCGUUCCCGGCGCCGGCCAUCUCGUGGUUCCGCAACGACAAGCAGAUCCACAAUGGCGGCUCGUACAGCAUCUCGCACACCGGAUCGCCGGACGAUGUGACGACGUCGGUGGUGAAGAUCCACUCGGUUGCAUCGGAACACUUCGGAGACUAUGUGUGCAAGGCAUCGAAUAAGGUUGGGCAGGCGGAGGCCCGAUUGAAUCUGUUCGAAUCCGUUAUUCCCGUUACCUUGUGAGUGUUUGUUGUGUAGGUCCACCACCCUGCCGCAGAACGUCACACCUCACCUUCAUACCAACGGCGAAACCGAGACCGGGUUGAGCCACUUUUUUGUUAAGUUUUGUGUAGCAAGAUGUACCGAACAUCAACUAUUCGGGCCUGAAGUGGUCCAACGGUGGGUCCUCGACGAAGCAAGUCCUGGUCGGCCAUCUGUUCAUCAUUGCGUUAACGCUCCUGCUGGCCACGCUCUUGUGAAUGCGUCGCCGAAGAACGGAAGAACCGCACCGGGUCGAUGCCUGGCGCCACGCGUGCUUCCUCGGAUCCCUUGCGUCGACCGUUCGAACGCGAUGUUCGUAGAGCCGGUAGAUUUAGACACCUGCUUCCGUACUCCCUACCACGACCCUCAUCAUCCACCCAGAUGCAUUGGUGGCAAGUAACAGAAAGUGCAAAACGCCGCGAAACCUUAUCCGCGCAUUUCCGGACGAAGAAACAUUAUGCUAAGAGUGAUUUUAGUACUGCAUUUAUCAAACGGAGACGAACGAGUCUGAGAACUAUGGUACAAUUUAUGAGAGACAGCCAAACAAAAACAAACCGUACACAAAAAUACACGACCGACCAAGUUAGCUAGAUAGUAUUACGGAUAGGAAUGGCGGUUUAUUUUUUGUCGCAUUUUUUACCGCAUUGCACGCUAUCUUACGACGUGGGGAGUGUGUGUGACUUUAUUAUUUUUAAAUAUUUGUGCAUAAGGAGCAAGAUUUUCGGAAUGACGAUACUAGGCAAAUAAUAGUAUAGGCGAAACGAAAUUCUAAAAAUAAACGUUUAUCCACAGUA